UAAGAUAUCUCAACAGACUGGCAGUUGAACUUACACUGUCCUUGUGAGCAAGGAAAACUGACAAGCAUACUGCUAGAUUUGGAAGACAUUAAAAAUGCCCAUGUUCAGCACUUUAGUUCACCAUGUUACUGGGAGUUCUAGUCAGAGCAAGUAUAAAAGAGAAACAAAUAAGGGCAUUCAUAUUAGAAAGGGAGAAUUAUAAAUAUCCCAACAGAUACAAAUAAAAUAUAUAGGAAGAAACUUAACCAAUCAAGUAAAAUGUAUCUACAAGGAAAACUAUGAGUCAUUGAUAGAAAUUGAAGAGGACACUAGUAAAUGAAAAGAUACUGCAUGUUCAUUUAGCGGGAGAAGUUAUAUUGUUAAAAACCCAUACUACAUAUAGCAAUCUAUAGUUUCAAAAUGCCAGUGUUAUUUUUUCACAGAAAUAGGAACAAGACGAAGAAUAGACACAGUAAUCCUGAGCCAAAAGAACAAAGCUGGAGUCAUCACAUUACCUGACUUAAAAUUAUAUGACAACGUAACACUAACCAAAACCGAAUGUGACUUGCAUACAUAUACAUACACCAAUGUAACAUCUACAAACCAGAAAUCCAUGUAUUGAAACUAAACUUGGCCUAUCAGAGAGCUCCAACAGCCCAGGCUCCACAGGUUGAGUGAGUGCUGCCAGCACAAAUGUAUUUAUAGGUGUUUGUAAUCCCGCUCCUGCUGGGCCAUCACUCGUGCAAUCGUGUGCAUGAACAACGGUAACCUCGCCCCUUGUUUGUUGUUACUGGUGCGAAUGGGCACCAGCAACUCCACACCUACCAUUCUGCCCCAAGUGCAAAUGUGCACAUGGGUGGCAGCAACUAGCCUCCUCUAGGGCCUCAUAUUUGCAGCCAGUGGCAUGAGUUCUAGCAUGGACGAUGUUAAACCCUACUCUUCCAGUGUCCCUCCCCAUCUGACACAUGUACACUCUUCCAUGCUGUUGAGGCUACUGGCACGAGCAAGUGAGCCUGGAUCCCACUGCCACCAACCCAAUGAAAUAGUAUGGCUACCACCCCCUAUUUGAAAACUGUGGGCAGCGUAACAGGAACACAUCCGCCCCUCCAGUUCGGCAUGUUUCUAACCUUGAGGGACCAGAGAACACAGCGUCCUUUCUUGACCCUGCUUCCCCAGAGUUAGAGCAUGCAGCCCAGGAAUCCUGAGGUGAGCCUUGGCCCCCUAAAAUCUUCCAGAAAUGAAGCCAGUCAACUGAACCCACUUUACACCUCAAUCAAAACCCAAGGGCAUUGAAGAAGAUUAAAGAAAAACAUCAUACAAAGCACAGCAUCUUCAAAGAUGGAAAGAAUAUUAGUCCACAUACAUGAGAAAGAAGUAUUGCAAGAACUCUGGCAGUUUGAAAAGCCAUAGUGUCUUCUAACUUCCAAAGGGCCACACUAGCUUUCUGGGAGAGGUUCUUAACCAGGCUGAGAUGGGUUAAAUGACACAGGGUAAAGAAUAUGGGUAUGAAUGAAGAUCAUUGAGAUUCAGGAGAAAGUUGAAACCUAAUCUAAGGAAUUUAAGGAACACAAUAAAACAAUACAGAUGUUGAAAACUGAAAUGGCCAUUUUAAAAUCUGGUAGAGCUGAAAAGCACACUACAUAAUUACAUAAUGUAAUUGGGAGUAUUAACAGCAUAGAUGAAGCUAAGGAGAAUCUCAGCUCUAAGACUAUUUAGUUGAAUUAGCUGUCAGACAAAUAUUUUAAAAAAUUUAAAAACUAAACAAAAUCUCUAUGAAAUAUGGCAUUCAAAUCUAUGAGUCACUGACAUUCCUGAAAGAGGCAAAGAAAGCAAGCAACUUUUUAGUUUAUUGUCCAUCAGUUUUUCUGCAACCUUGCUAGAGAGGCCAAAAUUCAAAUUCAGGAAAUUCUGAGAACACUGCAAAAUACUGUCCCCCAGACAGUUAUCAGAUUGAAAUGAAAGAAAAUGUCCAAAACAACUAUAGAGAAGGGCCGGGUAAACUACAAAGGGAAGCCCAUCAGGCUAACGGCAUACCUUUCAGCAGAAUCCCUAGAAGCCAGAAGAUAUGGAUACCUAUAUUCGGCGUUUUUAAUAUGAAGUGAUUCCAACCAGUAAUUUCAUAUUCAGCCAAAUUAAGCUUUAUAGGUGAAGGAGAAAUAAGAUCCUUUACAGGCAAGGAAGUGCCAAGGCAUUUCAUUACCACCAGACCUGCCUUACCAGAGGUCCUUAACUGAGUGCUCAAUAUGAAAAGGAAUGACCAUUAUUGGCCACCAAAAAAACACAUUUAAGUACACAGACCACUGACACUAUAAACCAAAUGCACAAUUAACCAGCAACCAGCUAAUAGUAAUACAGAAUCAAAUAUAAACAUAUCAGUGUUACGUUUGAAAUUAAAUAGACUACUGUCCUAAUAAAUGAUAAAAAGAGGCAAGUUGGAUAAAAAAGACCGAACUGUAUGCUGUCUUCCUGAAACCCAUUUCAGAAGUAAUGGCACCCAUUGACUCAAGGUAAAGGGAUGGAGAAAAUUCUACCAAGCAAACAGAAAAAAGGAGGAGGGACAGAUUGCUAUUCUAACUUCAUAGAAAAUAGACUUUAAAACAGCAAUUGUCAAUAAGGACAGAGAAAGAUAUAAUCAUGAAGAGUUCAACUCAACAAGAGCUAACUAUAUAUGCACUGAACACAGGAUCAUGCGCGUUCAUAAAAGAAGUUCCUACAGACCUAUGAAGAGACUUAGAUAAGCAGACAAUAAGAGUGGGAAACUUCACUACCCCAUUGACACUAUUAGAUCACUGAGGCUGAAAGCUAAGAGAUAUUUUAGUCCUGUACUUGACACUUGACCAAAUGGACCUAUCAGACAUCCAUAUUAAUGUCCACCCAAAACCACCAAGUACACAUUCUUCUCAUCUGCACAUGGCACAUACUCUAUAGUUGACUACACAGUGGGCCAUAAAAC
rnacentral:lncRNA from 10 species